UGUGCUGUAUAAAUGGCCAACCCUAAUGUCUAAAAGGAGAGCACAACAGGAUAAUUAUGUAUACAAAGCAUCAUUUUAUCAACAAAAAAACUUAACAUAACUACAAGGUUCCUUAUUCUUACUCUGCAGUGACGCCAGAAAAUCCAUGCUGUAUGCUUGCUGGCAUUUGGACAUACCAGAGGGUUGAGUAGCUUCUAAUUGUCAUGCUCUUGAGUUCUGGAUUCACACGCCAGCUGUGGCUGGGGAGCUGACCCUGUCUGUACCGGCUGAGCAAAGGGAGACUUGAUACAGGUGGAAAUAAUUGGGCCUGCCCAUGGUUCUGGCCCAGCUGAAGUCUGAGCGUGGUGUGAUUACACUGCGUCCCGUGUUCCUGGCUCCAGCCACCAGCGUUGGAUCUCUGAGCACAGUGUGAUGUGCUGAAGAACAUUGCAGACAGAGUGCAGGAUGGAAGGAAGAAUGGAAGGAUGGAAUGAAGGAAGAAAGGAAUGAAGCGCUGCAUUGAUUACUUCAGCUAGCAAUAACUGCAAAAAUAAGGAAAACACAGCAUGAAGAGGUUGGGUGAUCCGGAGCCACCUUGGCGUAGAUUUCACAAGUGCCUGGACCUGGACUUCAACAUCAUUCUUUCAUGCGAAAGUGUAACAUGUGGCGUUAUGCUGAUGGUGCUGGAAAAGCUGUCUCAGGCGUGCGUCCAGAAUCUCCCACAAGUGUUCAAUUGGUUUGAGAUCUUAUGACUGGGACGGCUAUGCCAUAUGGCUUAGACUCAAUCCGCGUUCAUUAAACCAUUCAGUGACCACUCAUGCCUUGUGGAUGGAGCUGAUGUCA